rnacentral:tRNA from 1 species
GCCUGUUGCUCAGUGGUUAGAGCAUCAGCCUGCAGACCCAAGGGUUGUGGGUUCAAUUCCCAGUCAAGGGCA